GCUGGGUAUGGUGGCACAUGCCUGUAAUCCCAGCAGCUUGGAAGGCUGAUACAGGAGGAUCGCAAGUUCAAAGCUAACCUCAGCAGAAGGUGAGGUGUUAAGCAACAGUGAGAUCCUGUCUCUA
rnacentral:sRNA from 1 species